GCUGGGUGUGGUGGCGCGCACCUGUAGUCCCACCUACUCCGGAGGCUGAGGCAGUGGGAUUGCUUGGACCCAGGAGGUGGAGGUUGCAGUGAGCCGAGAUUGCCACUGCACUCCAGCCUGGGUGACAGAGCAAGACUCUGUCUCAA
rnacentral:SRP_RNA from 1 species